rnacentral:rRNA from 1 species
GCCAUCCCAGUUCGGAUUGCAGGCUGCAACCCGCCUGCAUGAAGUUGGAAUCACUAGUAAUCGCGGAUCAGCAUGCCGCGGUGAAUGCGUUCUCGGGCCUUGUACACACCGCCCGUCACACCAUGAGAGUCGGGAACACCCGAAGUCCGUAGCCUAACCGCAAGGGGGGCGCGGCCGAAGGUGGGUUCGAUAAUUGGGGUGAAGUCGUAACAAGGUAAC